AAUUCGUAACAAGGUUUCCGUAGGUGAACCUGCGGAAGGAUCAUUGUAUGGGAUAUUCAUUGGAUACAUUUGCAUCCAAACGUUAAAACCCCGCCCGUGAACCUUCAUCCUGCUCUCGUAACCCGCGUAGUUCGCAAUCUCUGAUAAAUCAUAGCCCGGAAAGUUAAAGUGAUUCAGAGACCUCUGGCUACGUGCGAACAUUGGAACAGUUACAAUUGAGCGGUAGUUCUAUAGGCAAUGUUUCCCUAAGCAGUCAGUGCCGGAAAGUGUCAUUGAUUGUGCAAGGAUAGCGCUUCUACGAUUCCUGUUUACCGUACACCCUAAUAACCCCAAAGUGUGAUGUGAAGCUCAAUGUAAUACAUUGGGUAAAAAAACCGAAACAACUGUUAACAGUGGACAUCUUGGUUCUC
rnacentral:misc_RNA from 1 species